UUCACUCAUUUCUGUUAAAAUUUCUCCUGCCGAGCCAAAAGUGGUGAAAUCCACUAAUAGAAAAUUCAUGGCUCUUGACAGUUUACACGCUUGUCCGUAGUUGAACCUUCUCUAUAUAAGAGUCUUAUCACACGAAGCAACUUUUGUUGCGGCAACUCUUGGUUUAUAGGCGAGGGGGCGACGAGGAGAGGGGAAUCGCGCCGAGUUUCCAGUGUUCAGCAACUCGCUUUGUGUUCUUAUUCGUAGCAGUUCGCUGCGACGUUUUUCGGCAUUCGUGUUCUUUCUUUCGUAGUACAUAGUUGCAUUUGCGUAUAUUUUUUUGAAAUUAAUAUUUUGAAUAUAUUUAAAAAAUUUAAUUUCAUCUUUUGAAAAUGGAGUAUGACGAAAAAAUCGAAUUAAUUAAAGAUAUUGUGAAAUGUAUGGAGGAAGCCAUACAAAUUGAUUCAGACGAUAGUAAAAAGGGUGAUAUAUCUUUGUUUUAAUAAAUAAAAUGUAUUUCUUAAUUGACA